GGCCCCUCCGCGGCUGUCCCGCGGGGAUUUAUCGCGACAGCGGCGGUACAAGGAGAGGCAUUGCCGAAAUUUCCAGAAGGCGAUCGCCGGCCCUACCCGCGCGGCCCGAGCUGCCUGCUCAGCCGAUGGGUUUGAGGUCCUCGGGAAUUUUGUCAGAGCUUGAAGACAAACUUGCCAGUAAGGGUGGAAGGGGAAGAGGAAUCCUGUGAUUCACGUUCUGUGACUGUAGCACUGUGGUGAGCUGCCUGUUUUGUUGACACUCUAAAACAGAAGUUUGAAGAAGAUAAACUGGUGACUCGGAGUUCCCAAAACAAGAGGCUGGCUACCAAGGGAAAAAUCAGAGUAAAAUGUCGCUGCUUCUGGAAACCCCCUUCUUUUUCCUUUAGUAAAUUUAGAUUCAUUUUGUCAGAUAACUUAAAUGACAUCAUAAUCGGCUUAAAUUUUCAUCAUAUGAAGUGACAUAAAUUGCAGCUAAAAUACAAAGUAAUUCCAAAAAAAUCUUUAAAUCAUUCCUUUGAAAUUCUGCUGAAACUGUUAAUGGUUGUAAAACUCAAAUACAUUGUGUAUCAAUUGAAGUUUUGUCUGUGGUGUCCUGAUUUUUAGAUUAACAGUGCAAUUGUCUUUAAAUCUAUGUUGUAAUGGCUUACAGGAAAGCUGUGUAACAAUACCUGUUGACUUUCUGUUUCCAACCAUAAAUCGGUUCAUGGCCUUGUGCCUGAAAGACUUUCAUUAUGCUCAGUCACAAUACAUGCAGUUGAUUUUCCUUUUAAUCACUCAGUUUUAACCACUGUUGAGAAAUACCUUUAUAGUUGUUUUUCUCAAUCAAUACAAGACCUAACUUGUUUCAGCAGUUUAUCACAUGUAAAAAAUUUUUAACUUUUUUUUUUUUGUUUGUUUCCUGUGCUACUGAUUUUUAGUUUAAACCCCUUUGGUAUCUCUAAAUGUAAUCAGGGUCCCUUUUUGCAAUAAAUGCCAAGUGACCGCCAGGAAAAAUCUUCAGCAGAUUUAAGGAUAAUCAGUAACUGCCUGUUGGACUCCAAUUAGCUUCUCCUCUUUGAAUAUGCUGAAGAUUGAGAAAAUAAGCAUUGUCGUGUAAACCUCCACAUAUCUGCUUAUGCAACCAUAGCAGCACUUCAGACUUUGCUCGUGCAGGACAUACAACUCCCAUCAGUGAUGAGUGUGCGAUGGACUUACCCAGCACGUGGUCUUAGAGAAGAAAAGCGUGAUGGGACUGGACUUCUGGAGGUAAUGUGUGUUGAAGCUGCUUGUGCCAGUCCAAUUUGCGUAUCCCCAUCGAAUGUUAGUGGGAUGCAGUGCUCACUAGAAGAAGCUUGACCACAUCUCUCUCUAAGCACUGGUAUUUUCUACCCCAGUACACUGGAACCAUGUGAAGUAUUUAAAUCUGUAGGAAGUUCUAGAGCAGCAAGCAAGUAAACAUUCUGGGUAAAUUUUGAUUGUUUCUAUCUGAACAACCCCAGGAUAAAGGAGGUCAGGAUUUAGGUCCUGAGCAUGGGACCAGGGAGGAAAAGUAGGUUGGUGCUUUACUGCUGUUCCUGGGGCUGGCUGUCAAAACAGCUUUGCUUGUUAUUGCAGAGGCCCUUAGCAAACACAAGCCCAUUAAACUGUGAUUUGAAAACGUGCAGUUGGCAAUAGGAAGAUGCAUAAAUAAUAAAACAACUGCUAAUAAAAACAACUGCUAGUAUAUGUGAUAAUAACCUUUUAAUAUGUUAAUUAUGCAGUAACCUUUUUUUUUUUUGUAGCCUAAUUAAGUCUACACUGUUUCUGACAGUGCUGCUGCCACAUUUGAAUGAGGUGAUGUAAUUCGUAAUUCACCAUCUGUCUCAUUGUGUCAGGUGAUAAAUGACCUGGUGCAGCAAGCUGUGCCUUUCCCAUUGCUUGUUAUCUAAUGGACAUGAUAAUAAAAAGGUACUCCGUGGUACUAAAAGAGAAGUUUCAAAAUCCUUCACUGUGGCUAUAGAUAGGGUACCUCUUCACGUGGGCUUCUCAGGGUAGAUCAGGUUUUUGAUAAAACUGAAGCUUUUGUUAAAUACUGUUUCUAAAUGAUAGAAUAUUUAGGCCAUGGAGCAAAGAAGCAGCUGCCUCUUGGUUUCUUCUUUGAGUUUUUAACUUGCUGAUUAUUUGUGAGAAUUCCCAUUGAUCAUUUGCAUUCUGAAGAAGUCUUUGGUCUGCCUCGCUUCUUCACAUGGGAAUUUCCACAUAGAUAGUGAGAUAAGUGCAGGUCCAGAACAAAAAGGGUAUUUUUAUUGUAAUUUUCCUUAUACCGUGAUCAGUGUUGUAAUAAACAUAAUUCUCUGUCGUGAAUUUAAGAAGUAUUGACCUUCCUUUUUGUUGUUGUUGUUGUUUUUGUUUUUUAAUGACUACCUCUUUUUUGGUGGUAUUUACAGGUACUUUGCAAAUAGGAUAAUGGCAGGAUUUAAGUGGCAGGGUUUUUGCAAGUAGGAUUUUAUGGCAGGAUUUAAAAUGGCAGGCCCAGGAAAACGGAGUUGUUAUCUGGCCCACAAAGUCUGGGGAGGACUGUAUAGCAAGCUGCUGUAUUUUUAGCAAGGUAGUAAAAAAAAAGUAAAUGGUAAAUGAUUAAAAUCAUAUAGCAGAAAUGGCUAUGUCAUAUGAAGAUAAUUGAACGCUUACUCGGGUCACUAAUGCAAUUUUCUGUGAACAUGUAACAUUUAAUAUCCAUUAUCAUGAUUUAUUGCAUAUGACUCACCUGAGGACAGGAAAAUGCUAAUCUUAAGUACACUAAUCUGUAUCACUUAGAUAAAACUAUUUAGAUGAGUAUAUGAAGUAACAGAGAAGUGUGACAGUAGUUAGAACAUGGACUUCUGUAUUUCGCUGUUAUAUCUCUCAUAGAACUUUACUAUAUUUUGACCAUUGGAUUUAAGCAUGACAGACCUCAUUACCUAUUAAAUAUUCUGAAACAUUUGAGGAACAGAUGCUAUUUUUCUCUUAACUACUCACAGAUCCUGAAUUUUAUAUGUAUAUUUAGAGUUGAAUAAAGGAUUAUGUUUUAGAAAAUGUUUUCAUUCAGUAAUAGCAGCAUCUUUGUCCUUGCUUUUUGUGGUGUUUACAGGCUUUUAAAUGAAAAUAGAAUGCUUAUUUAACAAGCUUUUAAAUGAAAAGAGAAUGUGUAUUUGUUUUAUAAUAGGUUCGUUUAAGGAAUAUUUUCUCUUCAAAGUAUUUAUGAAUAUUUUGUAUUAUCCACAUACGAAGAAUAAACGAGUUUGAUAUUGA